GACGAACGCUGGCGGCGUGCUUAACACAUGCAAGUCGAACGGUAAGGCCCUUCGGGGUACACGAGUGGCGAACGGGUGAGUAACACGUGGGUGAUCUGCCCUGCACUUCGGGAUAAGCCUGGGAAACUGGGUCUAAUACCGGAUAGGACCACUGCCUGCAUGGGUGGUGGUGGAAAGCUUUUGCGGUGUGGGAUGGGCCCGCGGCCUAUCAGCUUGUUGGGGGUGUGAUGGCCUACCAAGGCGACGACGGGUAGCCGGCCUGAGAGGGGGACCGGCCACGCUGGUGCUGAGUUACGGCCCAGACUCCGACGGGAGGCAGCAGUGGGGAAUAUUGCACAAUGGGCGCAAGCCUGAUGCAGCGACGCCGCGUGAGGGAUGACGGCCUUCGGGUUGUAAACCUCUUUCAGCACCGACGAAGCGCAAGUGACGGUAGGUGCAGAAGAAGGACCGGCCAACUACGUGCCAGCCGCCGCCGUAA
rnacentral:rRNA from 1 species